GUUGCCUAAGUUGUUUUUCAGGAACUUGGCAGUAGCUUAAAUUGGUUGAAAUUAACUGACCCUUCACUUGGGCUUAUACAAGUGUCUGACUUUUUGAUGUCAGAGGGUCCAACACUUCACCCUCAGAGAUGAGAAUAUUGCCAUUCCCUGAACAUACAUUCUAGGAAGAACCAUGAAGCUUGAUUACACUUGCAGAGGCCACUAAGUCCUUCAUUCUUCCUCAACUCCAAUCAGCUUUUCCCAUGUUUGAGAGCCUUUUGUUUCUGUAUCCCCAUAAAUAUCCCUAAAUCCUGUUCAAGGGGAGGUAGAUUUGAGAAUUGGGGUUUCCACCUUCUCACAGUUGGCCACCUCAUGAGUAAACUUUCUUCUUCGCCAAACUUGUCAUGUACCACAAGAUGAACAAAAGGGGCCUGGUUCAAUAAGGACUUUUGCUGAGAUGAGGGUAGACUGGAGAUCUGAAGUAAGCCCUGGGGAAAGGCACUGAGGUGUCUGUGCAGGAGGGAUUAUGUGAUCAGAUUUACCUUUAUUUAUUUAUUUAUUUGGUGCCAGGGAUUGAACUCUAUUUAUUCAUUUUUAAUUUUUUUUAAUAUUUAUUUUUUAGUUUUAGGUGGACAUAAUAUCUUUAUUUUGUUUUUAUGUGGUGCUAAGACUCGAACCCAGUACCUCACACAUGCUAGGCAAGCGCGAUACCACUUGAG
rnacentral:lncRNA from 1 species